rnacentral:rRNA from 1 species
UACGGGAGGCAGCAGUGGGGAAUAUUGCACAAUGGGCGCAAGCCUGAUGCAGCCAUGCCGCGUGUAUGAAGAAGGCCUUCGGGUUGUAAAGUACUUUCAGUCGUGAGGAAGGUGUUAAGGUUAAUAACCUUAGCAAUUGACGUUAGCGACAGAAGAAGCACCGGCUAGCUCCGUGCCAGCAGCCGCGGUAAUACGGAGGGUGCGAGCGUUAAUCGGAAUUACUGGGCGUAAAGGGCACGCAGGCGGUUAAUUAAGUUGGAUGUGAAAUCCCCGGGCUUAACCUGGGAAUGGCAUUCAAGACUGGUUAGCUAGAGUCUUGUAGAGGGGGUAGAAUUCCAUGUGUAGCGGUGAAAUGCGUAGAAAUGUGGAGGAAUACCGGUGGCGAAGGCGGCCCCUGGGACAAAGACUGACGCUCAUGUGCGAAAGCGUGGGGAGCAAACAGGAUUAGAUACC